AUGGAUAUGAAAGCUCCUGCUCAGCUUCUGGGGCUCCUGCUGAUCUGGCUUCCAGAUGCCAGGUGUGACAUCCAGAUGACCCAGUCUCCAUCCUCCCUCUCGGCUUCUCUAGGAGACAGAGUCACCAUCACUUGCUGGGCAAGUCAGGGUAUUAGCAAUGAGUUAUCCUGGUAUCAGCAGAAACCAGGAAAAGGCCCUAAGCUCUUGAUCUAUGAUGCAACCAGAUUGCAUUCAGGGGUCCCAUCAUGGUUCAGUGGCAGUGGACGUGGGACGGAUUUCAGUCUCACCGUUAGCAGUCUGCAGCCUGAAGAUGUUGCAACUUAUUACUGUCGACAGGAUGACAGUAUUCCUCCUAUAGUGUUACGAGGCAUGACAAAAACCACCCAGAUAUGUGAGGCUGAACUGCACCAGAUGCCUUUCUGGUGCCUCCAUCUGCUGUGUCAGGUUUUGAAUGUCAUUGGUAGAUUUUGUUAG